GGAAUAUAGCUCAAUGGUAGAGCACUUGGCUAGCAUGUGGGAGGCUCUGGGUUCAAUCUCCAGUACCA
rnacentral:tRNA from 1 species